AGGAGCUUAGCAUCCAUCUCCCCAUCUAUAUAUAAGCUAGAGCUCUUGGUGGUUGACUCAGACUUUAGUGGAGAGAUAAUUACUUAAUGGUUAGUAAAGCACACGAGAUUUCCAUUUGGUUCGCUGGAAUAUUAGAGGAAACCAAAAGCAUGGUGAUCAUGUCCCUGUUCUACUAUUUUGUUUGAUCUUGUAGUCCAUUGGCCGUGGCGCUGCUGGGAUGGAGGCUUGGUUUUUUGUGUGCAUCUGCAGAGGCAUAGCGUGCCUACCUGCUCAAGGUGUAUAGCUAACACGAAGGAACCUGAUAGUGAACUACGUAGUAGCAACUUAUCAACCAAGCGCAUGCAGUUCGAGCACUACAUGCAAGUGACUACAUUACAUUGCAAGCAAGCGUAUGGUGCUCUCUACAUGCAGUUCGAGCCACGAUGCCAUUAAUUAGUGGUCAUGCAUGAAUAACUUCAGUUCUACGUAUACAUACAUUUCAGAGGCAACAAUGCUGCCUCCGCCUCCUCUUCCGUGUUACACUUCUUGGUUUACUUUGCCAGUUCCAGUUUCAUUCCCUUUCCGCUGUUGCACCUUUUAAAAUGCUCCAAAAACAAUUCUGUGAAAAAUUUACCUUGAUGCAACAUUGAUCUGUGUCGUGUUUAUAGCAGGGUUUGUUGGGACAAACCCACCGGCGACCCAAACGCCGGACGAAGGUAGAUGAAGGAGACACCAUAAUUUUUCCGGCGACGAACGCCGCGACGCACCAACGCCUUUAUCUUGGCUUUAUUGCUCACAACGACUCGAACACAUACAUGAGGAACACACGCACGCAUGCGGUACAACCCGGAAGAACUCUCACGUCGACCGGACACACAUCACGAUCCCGACGGAGACUACAUCUUCUAGGCUGCGGCAGUGUAUUGAUCGAGCUCCUUGUCUCCACUUUCCGCUCCACCGCCACCACGCUCCCGUCUCCAUCUUCCUCUGCGCCGACGUUCCCUCUCCGGCCGAACAACCACCUCACCUCCCCCAUCCUCCGCCCCGCGUCUCCAUCCAGGUCAUCGCCACUAAAAAUAUGUACAUAUUUUGCUUUCUUUUUAUCCUACUUACUUGUCUAUACCAGGCUUCCAGUUCCAGAUGAAUGCCCGGAUGAAUGCUCCAGCAACCAUGGGUUUAUCUGAUGGAUGGAUGGACAUACGUACAGCGUGAGCAGAACAAAAGAAUCGAACUGCUUAAGGAGCAUAUUAGAGUAUUGGAGCAGGAAAUAGAGUCUCUCAAGCGUGAAGCUGUAGAAAUGCAGCCUGCGUAUGUGCAGGCUAAACAUAUGCUGAUAGCUGUGCGUGUUGUUGGAGCUAAUUCUCUCAGCUCACCUCUUCUCUCUUGGUUGUUUCACACAACACACACAAGAACACAAGAAAUUUGAUGCCGUGCUGCCUCACACAGCUCACAGCUUUUC
rnacentral:lncRNA from 1 species